rnacentral:tRNA from 1 species
GAGGUGCUAGUAUAAACCACUACAUGACUUUGUCAAAGUUAAACUAUAGGUUAAACUCCUAUGUGCCUUU